GCGCGUAAACCCAUGUUUAUGCCCAUUUUUGCCGGUAAUGUCAACGCGCUACUAUUACCCGUGUCUGCCCCCUUAACCGGAAGUCAAUCGGCGCGCGGCAACCGAUCCGGUGCCAGAUCGCUCUGAAGGCGGUUGCGUUCGUCUUCACCGCCAUUACGUUCGUUAUUACGUUACUACCAUUUUUGCGUGUACAUGUCCGCAACGCCAUCCUUGCGGCCCCUCGAAAUACGAGAAGGUCGCCGCAAGGAUCAUCGGGGGUAAUUUCUAGCCUCCGAAGAUUUACCAGGAACGAACGCAAGAACUGCGUGGCCUACAUGCAAACGGCGGCAUAACUAAAAGACGGAAACUUGGGAAGUCGGACAGUGGACCAGAACGGGUGGACCAGAGAAGAUGUUCAAAUUUUGAAAUAAACAGAAUAAUCCGUAAUUGUUUAAGCACCAUGUGGUCCGGCUCCCAUUCAUACAACGGAUGAACUGUAAAGUCAAAUUAUCACAUCUGACUCGCGUGGCUCGUCGCCUAAAGAUGGUCGAAAUAUUAAUCUUUUGACUAAAAUCUGUAGACUUUGAGAUGCACCAGCCGUACCUACCAUACGGUAGGAAAUCAGACGGACACCGAGAACAGUGAAACUAUUCGUUAGACGUGCAUUUAAGAAAAGCAUAUACAAGAUAAUUAAAAAACCGUCUGUAA